rnacentral:rRNA from 1 species
UACGUCGGUGGCGAGCGUUGUCCGGAUUUACUGGGCGUAAAGAGCGCGCAGGCGGCUGGUCAAGUCCGAUGUGAAAGCUCCCGGCUUAACUGGGAAAUUGCAUCGGAAACUGAUCGGCUGGAAGGUGGGAGAGGGUAGCGGAAUUCCCGGUGUAGUGGUGAAAUGCGUAGAUAUCGGGAGGAACACCAGUGGCGAAAGCGGCUACCUGGCCCAUUCUUGACGCUGAGGCGCGAAAGCUAGGGGAGCAAACGGG